GGAAAGCUCAGUCGGGAAAGCACGAGAUCCCUACUCUCAGGGUUGUGGGUUCGAGUCCCACAUUGGGCCA